UGCGGCUGGAUCCCCUCCUUUCUAAGGAUAUAUUCGGAACACCUUCUUCAGAAGAUGCGGAAUAACGUGACAUAUUGUAUUCAGUUUUGAAUGUUUAUUUAACAUUCAAAUAUUUUUUGGUUAAAGCGAUAUUGCUUAUGAAAAUAAAGCAGUAUGCGAGCGCUUGACUAAAAAGAAAUUGUACAUUGAAAACUAGAUAAGUAAGUAAAAUAUAGAUUUUACCAAGCAAAACCGAGUGAAUAAAGAGUUUUAAAUAAGCUUGAAUUCAUAAGAAAUAAUCGCUAGUGUUCGAAAGAACACUCACAAGAUUAAUAACGCGUUUAAAUCUUUUUAUAAAAGAACGUAACUUCAUGUUAACGUUUGACUUAUAAAAAUGGUGGAAACAUAGAUUAAGUUAUUAAGGGCGCACGGUGGAUGCCUUGGCACUAGAAGCCGAUGAAGGACGUUACUAACGACGAUAUGCUUUGGGGAGCUGUAAGUAAGCUUUGAUCCAGAGAUUUCCGAAUGGGGAAACCCGG
rnacentral:misc_RNA from 1 species